GAGCAAACGAAAGUAACUUUCGACGACCGAAUGAUCAUUCAGACUCUGUUUCUAUUGAGAGAUAAAAGGUGUACGAAUUCUGUGGAGGCAGCGUGAUACAAGGACUAUACAUUUCUCCUAUCAGCCGGAUUUACUCCGAAAAGGGCAUCAAUGACCAUUGGACCAUAUACUUCUCCACAAUAUUGCAGGCACUAAAGGUGGACUUUUAACAAGUGCAGUGACAAUGCAGCCUUCCUCUCCUCUGAAGACCCAGUGAGGGUGGAGCUCAGUCAGAGAGCUGUUGAGGGACUGGUUAGGCAGAACACUUCUACAGCCAGAGAGG